AGCUCCAAUAGCGUAUAUUAAAGUUGCUGCAGUUAAAAAGCUCGUAGUUGCAUUUCCGAGGCAAGGGAUUAGUCCGACCUUUGGUGGGUAUUUAAUCCUCUUGCCUCGUCCUUGAGUGGUGCUUCUUGGUAUUAAGUUAUCGAGGAGAUAGCCGCUCAUCGUUUACUGUGAGAAAAUUAGAGUGUUCAAAGCAGGCUUAUGCCGUUGAAUAUAUUAGCAUGGAAUAAUAAGAUAGGACCGCGGUACUAUUUUGUGGGUUUGAGAACCAAGGUAAUGAUGAAUAGGGACAGUUGGGGGUAUUCGUAUUCAGUUGUCAGAGGUGAAAUUCUUAGAUUUACGGAAGACGAACUACUGCGAAAGCAUUUACCAAGGAUGUUUUCA
rnacentral:rRNA from 1 species